AACGAACGCUGGCGGCAUGCCUAACACAUGCAAGUCGAACGAGACCUUCGGGUCUAGUGGCGCACGGGUGCGUAACGCGUGGGAACCUGCCCUUAGGUUCGGAAUAACUCCCCGAAAGGGGUGCUAAUACCGGAUAAUGUCUUCGGACCAAAGAUUUAUCGCGUUUGGAUGGGCCCGCGUUGGAUUAGCUAGUUAGUAGGGUAAAAGCAUACCAAGGCGACGAUCCAUAGCUGGUCUGAGAGGAUGAUCAGCCACACUGGGACUGAGACACGGCCCAGACUCCUACGGGAGGCAGCAGUGGGGAAUAUUGGACAAUGGGCGAAAGCCUGAUCCAGCAAUGCCGCGUGAGUGAUGAAGGCCUUAGGGUAGUAAAGCUCUUUUAACCGGGAAGAUAAUGACAGUACCGGGAGAAUAAGCUCCGGCUAACUCCGUG
rnacentral:rRNA from 1 species